rnacentral:rRNA from 1 species
AUACGGAGGGGGCGAGCGUUAUUCGGAAUCAUUGGGCGUAAAGGGCGCGUAGGCGGCCUGACAAGUCAGGGGUGAAAUCCCUCGGCUCAACCGAGGAACUGCCUCUGAAACUGUUAGGCUUGAGGCCGGGAGAGGGUAGUGGAGUUCCCAGUGUAGCGGUGAAAUGCGUAGAUAUUGGGAGGAACACCAGUGGCGAAGGCGGCUACCUGGACCGGUUCUGACGCUGAGGCGCGAAAGUGUGGGGAGCAAACAGGAUUAGAAACCCUAGUAGUCC